AGCAAAACAGUUGUUGUUUACCUGUUUUGUGCGUGAUACCCUGAUGUCUUCUGAAUUCCAAUUGCACAAAGGCCUUGGGUGCUUUUGGGACGGCGUAGAUGAAAAAAUCAUCAUAAAAAGAAGUCUCUUAAAAGAACAGAAUAUUUCCUACGUUCUGAGGCUACUGAUUUAGACUCAACAGCAACAAAGUUCUGAGCAGGCCUUAGAAAACAAGUGAAAUGGGUCAAUGUCUUCUACUGGGGGGAUUCAAAACUGAGGAGAAAAUACUUUCCAGUGUAAAUGGACCUACUUGCUUUGACAAGAAAUAACCUGAAUAGAGUAUCACAGGUGCCAAUGCCUGUUGCAGCCACUGACCCUUCCACUUUCUUCCUCCAUCUCCAUUAGCCAUCCUCCUAAGAUAUGAAAUGCGUGUGUUCGGCAAAGAUCUUUUAAGAAAAUAUAGAAGCUAUUUCAGAGCUGAUUAUCUGAGGCAUCAACAACUGCACUUAUUCUCUCCUUACUGAAAGAGUUCUUUAUUUCUUGAAUGUCUUUUACUUAAAUAAUAAAGAAU
ensembl:lncRNA